rnacentral:lncRNA from 10 species
GUGCAGUGGCACGAUCUCAGGUCACUGCAAUCUCUGCCUCCUGGGUUCAAGUGGUUCUCCUGCCUCAGCCUUCCAAGUAUCUGGUAUUACAAGUAUGCACACCACAUCUGGCUAAUUUUUGUAUUUUUAGUAGAGACGGGGUUUCACCAUGUUAGCCAGGCUAGCCUUGAACUCCUGAUCUCGAGUGUUCCACCGGCCUCAGCCUCCCAAAGUGCUGGGAUUACAGGCGUGAACCACUGCACCUGGCCCUCCUUCAGCACUUUAAAUGUGUCAUGCCACUCUCUCCUGGCCUGUGAAGCUUCCACUGAGAGUCUACAGCCAGAUGUAUUGGAGUUCCUUUGUAUAUUAUUAUUUAUUUUCUCUUGCUGCAUUUAGGAUCCUUUCUUUAUCCUUGACCUUCAGGAAUUUGAUUAUUAAAUGCCUUGAGGUAGUCCUCUUGUCGUUAAAUCUUCUUGGUGUUCUAUAACCUUCUUGUACUUGAAUAUUGAUAUAUUCCUCUAGGUUUGGGACAUUCUGUUUUAUUAAUUCUUUGAAUAAACUUUCUACCCUGAUCUCUCUCUCUCUACCUCCUCUUUAAGGCCAAUAACCUUAGAUUUGCCCCUUUGGACCUAUUUUCUAGAUCUCGUAAGCACGCUUCAUUGUUUUUUAUUCUUUUUUCUUUUGUCUCCUCUGACUGUAUUUUCAAAUAGCCUGUCUUCAGGCUCACUAAUUCUUUCUUCUGCUUGAUGAAUUCUGCUGUUAAGAGACACUGAUGCAUUCUUCCACAUGUCAAUUGCAUUUUUCAGCUCCAGAAUUUCUGCUCGACUCUUUCCAAUUAUGUUAACCUCUUUGUUAAACUUAUCUGAUAGGAUUCUGAAUUUGUUCUCUGUGUUAUCUUGGAUUUAGUUGAGCUUCCUCAAAACAACUCUUUUGAAUUCUCUAUCCAAAAGGUCACACAUCUCUGUGUCUCCGGGAUUAGUCACUGGUGUCUUAUUUAGAUCAUUUGGUAAAGUCAUGUUUUCCUGGAUGAUCUUGAUGCUUGUAGAUGUUCAUUAAUGUUUGGGCAUUGAAGAGUGAGGUAUCUAUUGUAGUCUUCACAGUCUGGGCUUAUUUCUACCCAUCCUUCUUCAGAAGGCUUUCCAGGUAUGUGAAGGGUCUUGGGUGUUGUGGUCCAAGUCUUUGGUCACUGCAGCCUUAUCUGCUUUAGUGGGCAGUCCACACUCAGUAAUGCUAUGGCUCUUGCAGACUGGCUGAGGUACCACCUUGGUGGUCUUGGGUAAGAUCUGGGAGAAUUUCCUGGAUUACUAGGCAGACAUUCUUGUUCUCUUCUCUUACCUUCCUCCAAAAAAAUGGAGUCUCUUUCUCUGUGCUGAGUUGCCUGGAGACGGGGGAGGUGUGAUACAAGCGCCCCUAUGUCCACCACCACUGGGGCUGUGCUGGGUCAGACUCAAAGCCAGCACAGCACUGGGUCUUGCCCAAGGCCCGCAGUGACCACUGCCUGGCUACUGCUUCUGUUCCUCAAGGCCCAAGGGCUCUACAAUCAGAAUAUGGCAAAUCCAGCAAGGCUUGUGUUCUUCCCUUCAAGGUGGCGAGUUCCCCUCGGCCCCAGAUGGAUCCAGAGGUGCUAUCUAAGAGCCAGGCCUGGAGUUGGGAACCUGAGGAAUCUACUUGGUACUCUAUUCUACUGCAGCUGAGGUAGUAACCAAGCCACAGGACAAAGUCCUUUUCACUCUUCCCUUCCCUUUCCUCAAGCAGAGGAGUCUCUCCCCAUGGCUGCCGCCUCCCCAGACCCAUGGCAAGUACUGCCUGGCUACCACCAAUGUUCACUCAAGGCCCAAGGGUUCUUUUUUUUUUUUUUUUUUUUUUUUUUGAGAUGGAGUCUUGCUCUGUCACCUAGGCUGGAAUGUAGUGGCGUGAUCUCGGCUCACUGCGGUCUCCGCCUCCCGGGUUCAAGCAAUUCUCCUGCCUCAGCCUCCUGAGUAGCUGGAAGUACAGGCUUGCGUCACCACGCCCACCUCAUUUUUGUAUUUUAAGUAGAGACAGGGUUUCACCAUGUUGGCCAGGCUGGUCUCGAACACCCGACCUCAGGUGAUUUGCCCGCCUCAGCCUCCCGAAGUACUGGGAUUACAGGCGUGAGCCACCAUGCCCGGCUGGCCCAAGGGUUCUUUAGGCAGCUUGUGGUGAAUGCUGCCAGUCCUGAGUCUCUUCUUUCAGUUCAGUGGGUUCCCCUUUGGCCCAAGGCAGGUCUGUAAGUGCUACCCAGGAGCCAAGGCCUGGAACUGGGGCCUAGAAGCACCUACUUGGUGCUCUAUUCUACUGUGGCUGAGCUGGUACUUAAGCUUCAAGACAAAGUCACUUUUACAUUUCCUUCUCCUUUCCUGAAGCAGAAGGGGUCUCUCCCUGUGGCCACCACACGUUGGGAAUGAGCUGGGUCUCACCUGAAGCCAGAAUGUCUCUGAGUCUUCCCCCAGGCCUGUGAUGAGUCCUGUCUGGCUACCAUUGUUGAUUACUCAGGGCCCAAGGGCUCUGUAGCCAGCAGGUGAUAAAUUCUGCCAGAACUGAGUCCUUCCAUUCAAGGUAGUGGGUUCCCUUCUGGCCCAGUGUGUGUCUAGAAAUGUUGUCCGGGGGCUAGGGCCUAGAAUGGGGGCCUCAGGACUCUGCCUGGUGUCCUACUGGACUGUGGCUGAGCUGGUAUCCAACUGGCAAGAUGAAGUCCUCUUUACUCUCCCCUCUCCUCAAGCAAGGGGAAGGAUCCCUCUUGAAUCUGUGAGAUGUGCUACUGGGGUUGGGGGAGGGGCGAUGGAAGCGCUACCUUGGCUGCCCCAGCUGGUGUCUCACUAGGUCAUGUGCAUCCCAAUUUCACUGGCUCCAAGCCCUGCACAGCAGGAGGAGUUGCCCAGGAAUUGCAGUCCCUGUGGCCUGCACUGCAAGUUUAUUUAGGACCCCAGGGCACUUUAGCCCAGGGUGGCAGGGUUUGCUGGAGCUCAGGUUCCUACCACUGGGAUAGAUGAUUUGCCUCUGCCUAGGGCUCGUCUAAAUGCUCCCCUGUGGGCACCAGCAGAGUUCUGCCCCUUGUUUCUUUUUGCUGUGACAGGGCAGCAAUGAGUGCCAAUGCAACAUCCCAUAAUCACUGCACUGUCCUCCCCCAAGCACAGAUUCUCUGCACCAAGCAGCUGCUGCCAGCGGAUGGGGGUGGGUGGUGUAAGUGAUUCAAGAAUGUCUUUCCUACCCUCUUCAGUGCCUCUUUCCUUAACAUGAUGUGAUUUCCUUAACAUAUGAUUGCUCACCUGAUUUUUGGUUCUUAUGAAGGUAGUUUUUUGUGUGGAUAGCUGUUCAAUUUGGUGUUCCUGCCAAGGGGAUGAUCACUGGAAGCUUCUUUUUGGCCACCUUGCUGCAAGGUUCAUUUUGUGAGUACAUCUUUCGGCAUUUAAGAAUGCUUCAGAGAUCAUGAUGAUGAUGAUGACGGUAGUGAUGUCAUUGCUCUGUGCAGCAGUGCCCAACAUUGACUGAACAUUCCAUUCACUGUGCCCAGCCACUGGACACACAUGUUACUCUUGUUAGCCCUCACAGCUAGCCUAUGGGAGUAGACACCACUAUUAUACCCAUUGCACAGAUUAAGGAGAUUUAUGGGAGGAGGCUUGAUUUGGGUCACUUAAUUUGUAAAUGUCAGAGCCACACCUAGAGGUCUGUCUGACUCUGAAGAUGAUGUUCUUAAACCUUCCCCAGUCUUUUCAAUGUGUGUGUGCUAAGCAUUCCUAACAUUUUACUCUUCCAGGCUCACCCAUUCCUUUAAUAACAUGAUAAUAAUGAUAAUAUCUUGAAACCACAUUCUAUAUAUUUGCCGGAAAUCUAUUCCCCUAACAAAGAUUUCUCAAGCUCUUGGGGAAUGCUGAAUUACUGUGACUCCUUGUAUAAAUGGUGGUUCCCGGUUGCUUCGUGGAUUGGUCUUGCCUUCUCAUAACUUUUCUCCAGGUGACGGAUUACCCUAAAUGCCCCUAACACUGCAUCUUUUCAUUGUGUGCCCAGCUUCACUCUUCCCUCUCACCUUCAUGACUCUGCUAUACACAGAGGUGAGUAUCAACCUUUCAACCUGUGGUGAGUCAUUUAUUUCAGCUUUGCGGAAGACUUAGGAGGAACAGGAAGAGGUUCCUCAAUGGCACAGGAGAGUUUGAAAUUGGCUAUCAGGCUUCUCUGCUGUGAAGUCUAGUGAUGAGACAGUAUAGGGGGAUGCAUUCAAGAAUAGAGGCUGCCAGGCUCCUGGAAUAAAGCCUGUUCUUGGUAGUGAGACCAUACUGGUCAUUCACAGCUGGCCUCUGUUCUGACUGGUUAGAGUUCAUACUGGUGUCUGUUCUGACUGGUCAGGCUUUUUUCUUUUUGCUGUGUGUAUGUGUGUGUGUCUAUUCUGUUUCCUAGAAACAUCUUGCUAGUUUUAAAUGUUUUGAAUAUUGCUCUCUUACUCAGUAUGUAAAUUUUAGAACGUUGCUUAAACAUUUUUGUGCCUGAGUUUCCUCAUCUUGUUGCCAGAGGCCAGGAGGCCCUGCGGGAUUGGAGUAGAGGAGGCUACUAAUUUGGUGACUGGCAUAGGAGGAUGGAUGGGAGGCAGCACAGGAAAUUAGACAGCCCUGUACAUUGCUGCUGCGAUAGACCAUCAGCCAUGUAACCCAAGGCCAAUCCAGUGGGACUGGGCCCCGGAUGGCACCAAUAAAAAAAUCCUAAACGCACAUGACUGUUUGCUGACAAUUACAAUUUCAUGAGGGUAAAAUCCAUGUGUGGUUACCACUAUAAAAACUCACACUCUUUGUGUUACAGCUGCUUUAGAAUUUGUCUAGCAGACUUUCCUGUUUUUAACAGAAAGCCCCCUAAAAAUUAUUUAAAAAUAAAUAAAUAAAUAAAUUGCACUCCUUAUAGAAAAACAGCUUACUGUCGCCUGUCCCAAGUGAGUGAGUUUCAGAUGAAUGAGCAUCAGAGGAGUCUCUGGAAAUAAAAUACAGGGAGAUUUCUUGGGAAAUUGACACAAUUAUUGAAAGCUGCUGUUUUAAGACCAACCUCACCUCAGAAAAAGUACUCACAGUAAAUUUAACUACAUAAAAAAUAUAAAUUAUUUUGUUGUAAAAAAUCAUGAAAAGGCUAACCACAGACUGAAAAUAUUAUGUUAUAAAAUAUGGCAGAGAGAGGGUUUAAUCUUUUUAAUACAUAACUCAUACUAGUUAGUAAUGUUCUAAGGAGAGGCAGUAGCAAUAUAGAGAAAGCAUUAUCUUUGGACCCUAACUUUUUUUUUUUUUUUUAAGAGACAGGGUCUUGCUCUCUGCCCAGGCUGGAGUGCAGUGGCACAACUGAGCUCCUGGACUCAAGCAAUGCUCCCGCCUCAGCCUCCCAAAGAAGAUUAACAGGCACGUGCCACCACGCUUGGCCAAUUUUCUACAUUUUUUGUAGAGAUGGGGUCUCACUAGGCUGCCCAGGCUAAUCUCUGACUAUAGGCCUCAAGCGAUCCUCCUAUCUCAGUCUCCCAAAAUGCUGGGAUUACAGGCGUGAACCACCAUGCCUGGCCUGGACCCUAACUUUUAAAAUAACUGAAGAACAUGAAUAGACAAAACCUAGAGUAAAAUUACUAAAACAUUUUUGGAAGAAAUGGUCUGCAUCAUUGAUAACUAAAUAAAUUUACAUUUGCCUGUCAAAUCAUGUAUUCAUUUAUGCAAAAAAAAAGUUCAAAGAAUGUAUUAAAGAACUUCAGCAUUAACAAGGAGUGAAGUGGGAAGCCACGGAGGGUUUUUGAGAGACGAUGGUGUAAUCUAAUGCAUUGGUUCGCUCUGGCUACCAUAACAAAAUACCACACGCUGGCAGGCUUAAACAACAGAUAUUUGUUUUUUCACAGUUCUGAAAUCGAGGUUUCAGAAGGGUCCAUUUCUCUGAGGCCUCUCUCUUUGACUUGCAGACUUUAUGUACUUUGUGCAAGACACUGUUCAGACCCUGGGACAUCUGCAGUGAAAAAGCAGACACAAAUCCCACCCUCUUGGAAAAGUCAUUCUAGUGCAAGAGGCAGACAGUGAAAAACAAAUAGUAAAAUACAUUGUAUGUUAGAUGGGUGAUAAGUGCUAAAAAAAAGUAAUAAUAAUAACCAGCCUAGGCAACAUAGUGAAACCCCAUCUCUACAAAAAAAAUUAGCCGGGCAUGGUGGCACAGGCCUGUGGUCUCAGCUACUUGGGGGCUGAGGUGGGAAGAUCACUUGAGCCCAAAAGGUCGAGGCUGCAGUGAGCCAUGAUUGUGCCACUGGGCACAAUCCAGCCUGGGCAACAAAGUGAGAUCCUGCCUCAAAAAAAAAAAAAAAAAAAAAAAAAAAAGAAAACCAGAGAGAGGAAGGCAUUAGGGUUGGGGAGUGGGGGUGCUCUUUUAGAUAGGAUGUCCAGGAAUGAGCGAGUGCCUGAAAGAGGUGAGAGAGUGAGCCAGGUGAGUAUUUGGGAAAAGGGCUUCUCAGCAGAGAUGCCAGUGCAAAGGCCCUGAGGCAAACAUGUGGAGGUUGUGUAAACCAAAAAGUAUCUGAGACAGGUCUCAGUCCAUUUAGAAAUUUAUUUUGCCAGGAUUAAGGACACGCCUGAAAAACAGGAACACAAAAUCACAGGCACAGUCUGUGGUCCAUGCCUUUUUCCAGAGAUGAUUUUGAGGGCUUCAUAUUUAAAGGGAAUAAGUGGGCUGGAGGGGAAAGAGGAUGAGUAUGGUCACAUUGCUGAAUCCACCUGUUGCAAGAGGAAAGGAGAAGGCAGGGGAAUUGCCAAUUGUGUAUUCAUCUCGCCCUCAGUAAAUUGGCACUUCAAGGUAAAGUGAGCAUACCUGUGGAGAUACCUGGCCUUUCAUCUGUCGCUAUCUGCUUAGGAACAACAGCAAAGGCAGCUUCUUGCAUGAUUCAACUUUCAGUUUAAUUUUUUUCUUUUGGUAGAGUGAGUUGGCGUCCUAAGUUUUAUUUUCCUUUCACAGUUGCACGGCUAGCACCGAAUGAUCCAGAGCAGCAGGAGAUAAGGUUAGGGGAAGAGAGUGGGGCUAGAUGGCCUAGCGCCCUGAAGGUCAUUCAACUUUGACUUCAGAGAACUUAUUAAAGAACUUCAGGUUUAGCAAGGAAUAGAACGGGAAGCCACGGAGGGUUUUCGAGAGACGAUGGUGUAAUCUAAUGUAUUAGUUCGCUCUGGCUGCCAUAGCAAAAUACCACAUGCUGGGUGGCUUAAACAGCAGAAAUGUAUUUUCUCGCAGUUCUGAAGUCUAAGAUCAAGAUGUCAGAAGGGUCCAUUUCUUCUGAGGCCUCUCUCUUUGACUUGCAGACUUUAUUUGCCUCCUUGCUGUUCCCUCGAAUGGCCUGGUGUCCCUUCCUCUUCUUAUAAGGACACAAGUCCUGCUGGAUUAGGGUCCAACUGCUAGGACCUCAUUUAAUUUUUUUUUUUUUUUUUUUUUUUUUGAGACAGAAUCUCACUCUCACCCAUACUGGAGUGCAGUGGCGCGAUCUCGGCUCAUUGCUACUUCCACCUCCAGGGUUCAAGCGAUUCUCCUGCCUCAGCCUCCUGAGUAGCUGGGACUACAGGUGCCCGCCACCACACCUGGCUAUUUUUUUUUGUUUUGUUUUUUGUUUUCUAGUAGAGACAGGGUUUCGCCAUGUUGGCCAGGCUGGUCUCAAACUCCUGACCUCAAGUGAUCCACCUGCCUCUGCCUCCCAAACUGCCGGUAUUACAGGCACGAGCCCAUGCCAGGCCUUCAUUUAAUCUUAAUUACCUCUUUAAAGUUCUUAUCUCCAACUAUAGUCACAUUCUGAGGUACUGGGAGUUAGGGCUUCAACAUAUGAAUUUGGGGAAGGGGGUCACAAUUUGGUCUCUAACACCUGGUUUACAUUUAACAGCAUCUCUGGGUUGAGAAUAGAUUCUAGAUUUGCAACAUCAGAAGCCAGGAGACCAGUAACCCUGUAAAGACUUCCAGGUAACAAGAAGCUGAAGGAAGCCUCCAGCCAACAGAUAGCAAGGAACUGAGGUCCUCAGUCCAACAACCAUGAGGCGAGUGAGCUUGGAGUAGCUCCUCUUCUAAUUGAGUCUUCAAAUUAGACCAUGACCCAUGGUGCCUACAGCCUCCUGAGAGCUCAAAAAUCAGAGGCAUCCAAGCGAGCUGUGCCUGACCCACAGAAAUUCUUCUUAUUGUGAAAUAUAACGGAGACAUAAAAUUGCAUAAAUGAAGAACCUAAUGGAAUAUUACAAAAUCAACACCUACGUAACCACCAUCCGGGUCAAGGAGUAGAAUAUUGCCUGCACCCCAGAAUUAUGAGAUUCUUUAUAAAAACACUUUCUUCAUAUUCUAUGCUUCCAAACCCAGGUAUUAUCUUUCUAUUAAUUACUUCUUUUUUCAUUUUUUAUUGUGCUAAAAUAUACAUUGCAUAAAAUUUACCAUUUUAACCUUUUUUUUAAGAUGCAGUUUUGCUCUGUUUCCCAGGCUGGAGUACGAUGGUGCAAUCUCGGCUCACUACAAGCUCCACCUCCCGGCUUCAAGCAAUUCUCCUGCCUCGGCCUCCCAAGUAGCUGGGAUUGCAGGUGCGUGCCACUAUACCUAGUUAAUUUUUGUAUUUUUAGUAGAGACAGGGUUUCACCUUUUUGGCCAGGCUGGUCUCAAACUCCUGACCUCAGGUGGUCCGCCCACCUCAGCCUCCCAAAGUGCUGGGAUUACAGGUGUGAGCCACCAUACCUGGCCCAUUUUAACCAUUUUUAAGUGUACAAAUGAGUAGCAUUAGGUACAUCCACAUGGUUGUGCAGCUGUCACCACCAUCCAUCUCCAGAACUGUUUUCAUCUUCUCAAGCUGAAACUCUGCACCCAUUAAGCACUAACUCCCCAUCCUCCAUUCCCCCAAACCCCAGCAACA